rnacentral:rRNA from 1 species
UACGUAGGGUGCGAGCGUUAAUCGGAAUUACUGGGCGUAAAGCGUGCGCAGGCUGUUUUGUAAGUCAGAUGUGAAAUCCCUGGGCUCAACCUAGGAACUGCGUUUGAAACUACAAGGCUAGAGUGUAGCAGAGGGGGGGUAGAAUUCCACGUGUAGCAGUGAAAUGCGUAGAGAUGUGGAGGAAUACCAAUGGCGAAGGCAGCCCCCUGGGUUAACACUGACGCUCAUGCACGAAAGCGUGGGGAGCAAACAGG